rnacentral:rRNA from 1 species
CCUACGGGUGGCUGCAGUGAGGAAUAUUGGACAAUGGGGGGGACCCUGAUCCAGCGACGCCGCGUGAGUGAAGAAGUAUUUCGAUAUGUAAAGCUCUAUCAGCAGGGAAGCAAGAAAUGACGGUACCUGACUAAGAAGCCCCGGCUAACUAAGUGCCAGCAGCCGCGGUAAUCCGUAGGGGGCAAGCGUUUUCCGGAUUUACUGGGUGUCAAGGGUGCUUAGACGGCGAUGCAAGUCUGAAGUGAAAGGCGGGGGCCCAACCCCCGGACGGCUUUUGAAACUGUAUGGCUGGAGUGCAGGAGAGGUAAGUGGGAUGCGUGGUGUAGCGGUGAAAUGCGUAGAUAUUAGGAGGAACACCAGUGGCGAAGGCGGCGUACCGG